AUUUAAAUCCCCAUUCUUGAUUCCAGACUAACUCUCAUAUAUAUACGUAAAUGUACGAAAGCUUGGCGCGUCGAAUACGGAAACCCGGAAAUCUUUUCACCGUUGUCGUUUUUAUACUAUGACGCAAAAUCCAUGGACGCUCGUCUGCUGCUGAAUUCAUGUUUUAAAAGAAUGGACAAAGAUAGUCAGAUAGUUGAUACAAAGACCUUUGAUUUUUCAAACUGAUGGAUCAAAAAGUUAUUAUAAACAGAUAUAUUGAAAUGGCCGACUCAAAAUCAUGCUGUUAAUUAGGGCCCCCUGUUGUACAUGUACUUAGGAAUCAGACACCUCCAGAAGAUGAAAGAUCUACUUUACAUCUGUACAUUGUAUUACAACAAAUGGAAAGAGGAGUUGACUAUUGAUAGUGACUGAUAAUGGACUGGAGUAACCUAGGGUCCAAUGACUCCAUGCCUGACAGUCCAUGUGUACAUAAUUAGCUCCUCAGAUGUAAGUGGAAGGGAAGCUAUAUACAUUAUAUGUUUAAAUGAAAUUAACAACAGGAUUAGAUAUUGAGGAGAUCCUAUAGCUACAGUAUAUAUAAAUGUAACUGCAACUGUAUUCCAAGAGUCUGAUGGCUGAUAAUGUAUUACAGGAUUUUAUCAUUCAAGCAACAUCUUAGAAGGAUAAGUGCAAAUGUAUGAAGGAAGCCUUGGGUACAAAUAGCAAUUACAGCAAUUACAUGCAGGAGAGAACUCUUAACAUUACUAACAGACAUGUAGUCAUUAUAUGGGAGUGGUGUAUUCAAGAAAUCUAAAACACAUGGAAUUAAAUAUCGUGUAUAUUUUUUCAACCACAAGUACUCUCAGAAUAUAAUACAAUUCAAAUUCAAAUUAUUGUGCCAACAUGACAAUUACAGUCUAAAAAUGGAAAAUGCAUGUUUUAAACUGAUUUUUAUAUAAAUAUUUGAAAUAACAAGAA